rnacentral:rRNA from 1 species
GACAGAGGGUGCUAGCGUUGUUCGGAAUUACUGGGCGUAAAGGGCGCGUAGGCGGCUUGUUUAGUCGGGUGUGAAAUCCCGGGGCUCAACCCCGGAACUGCAUUCGAUACUGGCAGGCUAGAGACCGGAAGAGGUGGGUGGAAUACCCAGUGUAGAGGUGAAAUUCGUAGAUAUUCGGAAGAACACCAGUGGCGAAGGCGGCUCACUGGCCCGUUACCGA